rnacentral:rRNA from 1 species
CCCUUAGAUGUUCUGGGCUGCACGCGCGCUACACUGAUGCACUCAACGAGUUUACGACCUUGCCCGAUAGGGUUGGGUAAUCUUUUUAAAAUGCAUCGUGAUGGGGAUAGAUUAUUGCAAUUAUUAAUCUUCAACGAGGAAUUCCUAGUAAGCGCGAGUCAUCAGCUCGUGCUGAUUACGUCCCUGCCCUUUGUACACACCGCCCGUCGCUCCUACCGAUUGAGUGCUCAGGUGAAUAAUUCGGACUGCAGCAAUGUUUGGAUCCCGAACGUUGCAGCGGAAAGUUUAGUGAACCUUNUNACUUAANGGAAGGAGAANUCGUANCA